GGUCACCCCAUCCUGCUCUAACUAGAUUAAAAACUAACAUUACGAACAACAUGAUUCAGCGUUCAACUAGCUGGAGUCAGCAAGUUAUGUUUCAAAUAACUCUAAGGCAAUGUGACUGGGGCCCGCCUAUUUCAACUACCACCUUUCGUAACCUGAUUGGUUUGUGCAGCCUUUGUAAGAAAUCUUCAAACCUAGUUCGGGGCCAGACUUUUGGGAACUGUUACUCCCCGUCUGGCCCGGCCGUCAUAAACGUGGGUUUGUGCGAUCGCUCUUGCUGUUUUGGAGUUCGUACGCGACCAUAACCUAUAACAUUUGGAGGUUCCACCGAGAUCGUUUUAUUUCGCGAACUCCAAAAUGUUUCGUCAGCAUCUGAACGGAAUCGCUAGGGGGGAGCUCCCGAGAGACGGUCCUCGGCCCUGGCUUUCCUUGGCUGCAGGAAAAGAGGAAAAAACUAUGGCUUUAACCUAAAGCCAUCCUGGGUGUGGACAUGUCUCCACCUGGACUGGCCGACAUUCUCUGGGGUUGACUGGCCCCCAGAGGGCUCCUCUGCUUAUGUCGUCCGCAGGAUCUGUCGUGAUGUUCAUCCCAACCGGGAGCCAUAUGCCAUCACCUGGGUAGAUCUUCUAGAAGACCCCCCGUCCUGGUUAAAAUAUUGUAAAGGCCAAGGGAAGCACCCCGCUGGUCCUCCUUCUGCCCCUGCGCUCCCGACAUCCUCUAAAGCUCUUCUACCUGUUACCCAACCGUCAAAGAGGCUCUAUCCUGUAUUGCAGGAAAACCCAGAGGGAGGGGAUUUCACUUCUGGAGAGCAACGGCCGCCCCCUUACCCCUCAGCUCCCCCCUCCGCUGUUAAUGCUCAAGAUAAGAUGGCUAGCCCGCCCCAUACCAGGGCAGGGACAUCUUAUGGGACUAGACCCCAAUCCCCCGAACUCCCAGCCCCCAUUCUCCCCCUUCGGCAGACUGCCCCAAUUCCUGGCCCAGACGGGCCUCAACCUAGGUCUACUCUAGUUUUAUACCCCUUUCUCUACCACUGACCUUUACAACUGGAAGACCCCAAAUCCCCCUUUGUCUGAAAACCCCCAGGGCCUGAUUGACCUCUUGAGCUCCAUUUUCACCACUCACUUACCUACUUGGGAAGAUUGUCACCAACUCUUGCAGGUCUUACUGGCUUCGGAGGAAAGGGCCCGAGUGCUCCGGGAAGCCACGAGAGCAGUCCUCGGCCCAGAUGGAAUGCCUACCACAGACCUUCACCCAGUUGAGCACGUUUUCCCUCCCGCGCCGCCCCAGUGCGACCCUAACACGGAUAACGAGAGAGACAGAGCAUGCACGGGGGAGGGGCAGAGAGAGA